UGUAGCUCAGUGAUAGAGUGCUUGUGUAGCAAGCAUGAGUAUCUGGGUUCAAUCCCAGCA
rnacentral:tRNA from 1 species